rnacentral:rRNA from 1 species
UGAAACCGUCUAGAGGCAAACGGAGAGGACCGUAUGGUCCGCCCGUCGGAUUCAGUCCGCCGGCGCGGCGACGGCGGCGGCCGCGCAUCCCUCGUGGGAGCGCGCCGUCGUCCGGUUCGUCGCGCGGCGGCCGUACUUUCGGCGGGCGGAGCGCCACGACCGGUUCGUCGGCGGCGAGAAACUCCCGGGCAAGGUGACCUUCGCCUCGGCGCAGGAGCAUACAGGCCCGGCGAGCGUAGGCCCGUCGGCGGACCGAGGAAGACCGUCGCGGAGCGGCGUCGACCGCCCGUCGUGUGGUUGCGUUCGACUCGGGGGGACUGGUUCCAGUGCCCUCGGACCGCGCGAUCGCAGCGGCGGGACGGCCCGGCGUCGCGCCUGGGGUCGGUGGCGAAACGGCCGGCAACCUGUCCGACCCGUCUUGAAACACGGACCAAGGAGUCUAACAUGUGCGCGAGUCGUUGGGCGCUACGAAACCCGAAGGCGCAAUGAAAGUGAAGGCCCGGUCUCGUGCCGGCCUGGGUGGGAUCCGGGCGCCCGCGGGCGUCCGGCGCACCACCGGCCCGUCUCGUUCGUCAUGUCGAGGAGGCGGAGCAAGAGCGUACACGUUGGGACCC